rnacentral:rRNA from 1 species
AUUGAACGCUGGCGGCAGGCCUAACACAUGCAAGUCGAGCGAGCGGCGGACGGGUGAGUAAUGUCUGGGAAACUGCCUGAUGGAGGGGGAUAACUACUGGAAACGGUAGCUAAUACCGCAUACCAUCAGAUGUGCCCAGAUGGGAUUAGCUAGUAGGUGGGGUAACGGCUCACCUAGGCGACGAUCCCUAGCUGGUCUGAGAGGAUGACCAGGCACACUGGAAAUGAGACAAGGUCAAGACUCCGAAGUGAGGCAGCAGUGAGAAAUAUUGCACAAUGGGCGCAAGCCUGAUGCGGCCAUGCCGCGUGUGUGAAAAGGGCCUUCGUGUUGUAAAGCACUUUCAGCGGGGAGGCGUUACCCGAAGAAGAAGCACCGGCUAACUCCGUGCCAGCAGCCGCGGUAAUUC